rnacentral:rRNA from 1 species
AGCGAACGCUGGCGGCAGGCCUAACACAUGCAAGUCGAACGAAGUCUUCGGACUUAGUGGCGGACGGGUGAGUAACACGUGGGAACGUGCCUUUAGGUUCGGAAUAACUCAGGGAAACUUGUGCUAAUACCGAAUGUGCCCUUCGGGGGAAAGAUUUAUCGCCUUUAGAGCGGCCCGCGUCUGAUUAGCUAGUUGGUGAGGUAAAGGCUCACCAAGGCGACGAUCAGUGGCUGGUCUGAGAGGAUGAUCAGCCACAUUGGGACUGUGACACGGCCCAAACUCCUACGGGAGGCAGCAGUGGGGAAUCUUGCGCAAUGGGCGAAAGCCUGACGCAGCCAUGCCGCGUGAAUGAUGAAGGUCUUAGGAUUGUAAAAUUCUUUCACCGGGGACGAUAAUGACGGUACCCGGAGAAGAAGCCCCGGCUAACUUCGUGCCAGCAGCCGCCGUAAAAC